GUGGAAACUUGCAGUGUGACCCCUCCGUCUUUCCAAGUUGCAUCCCAUGUCAGAGGCCAGCACUUAGCCCACCGCAGCUGCCCGUGCCUUGGCCCGCUCCUGGGAGCCAUUCUGGAAGGUGGUUCCUGAGUCGUGGGCAAAGAACGCCCAGUGCAGAGUGACGCCCUUCCCCACUGCUGUGUGACCGGGCCUGGCCCAGAGCAGAGCUGCCGUGUGAGCCUGGCAUCACCUCACCACGCUGGCCCAGCGGGCAAGGACCUUGCACUUUCGAGGCAGGCGGUGGAACCACUGAGCUACAUUCCCAGCUCAGGAAUUUGUCUUCCUUUCUGAGGCGUCUCCACACUGAUCUCUGCAGUGUUGUACCUGCGUACUCCCCCACCCGUGGGGAAGGCCCCUCGCCAGCGCCUUGUUACUGCUGGGUUUCUUGAAGAUGGCCCUGCCCUCUGGGGAUGGUGGGACUGCGGUGCUGCCUUUAAUUUAAUCCCUUAUUCUCAGCGUUGCUGUUUACUCCCUUCAAGUCCUGAACUCACACAGGUAGUUUCAAAGUUGCCAACCCUUUGUGCCAUGAAAAAGAAAACCUACUGGAGUUGAAGCUCAGCACUUUUCCUUUUGGGGAGAGGUGGGCAGGCAGGGAGAGGCGGGGCUGAGUGAGUCUGUGGCACAGAUGCCCACACCGCCCACCGGGCCUCCGCUCUUCGGCCCUGCCACGGGAAGCCCUGCGUCUGCGCUUUCCAGCCCUCCCUGCUGUCGGGGCUCAGCCAGGGAGGCUGUUGGCAGCCCCUUUAUCAGGAGGUGGGAAUGCCUGGGGCCCAGGCAAUGGGACAUCAAAUGUCCUUGACGGAGAAAGGGUAAUUUCAUCCAGGUUCCUCAAACACUCGGAAUGGAGCCAGCGUGUGGCACGCUGCAGUUGGCUUCUGGGUGCUCACAUCCAAGGCUGCGGAGCUGGUGUGGCAAGGAGACACCUACACGCCACGUCCACCACAGCUGAGGAAAAACAGUGCACCCAGGCAUGCCCCACCAAUGAGCGUGUGAAGGGACAGUGGACGCGCAUGGCAGCAUGCCGUGAGCCUCACAGAAGAGGGAAACAUGUCCUUUCUGACACACAGGGUCUCGCUAACUUGCUCAGUUGCCCAAGCUGGGCUCAAACUUGCCAUCCUCCUGCCUCUGCCUCCCAGUGCUGGGAUGACAGGCGUGCACCACCACACUUAGUUCCUGCUCUAACUUUUCAACAAAAUCCAUUACACUGUAGGAAAAGGUAAAAGAAAACUACGCGAUGGCUUUCUGGAUCUUUGUGUUCUAAACGCUGCCCUAACUUCUUGGAGAAGGCUUGUCGGUCAGUCGGGACUCAAGAAAGCCCUGGGCCUCCCAGGAGGCGCCGCCCCUCCUCGGCCCCAUGCACUGGCCUUGGGGAACCCUUCGGGUUGCCCAGACGCGAGGAUGGGGCUCCUCCUCCUCCACAGGCCCAGCACUGCCUCUGCUGAGGGUAGAUUUUGUUGGAUUCAUAUGCUUGUAGAAAGCAUAGAGAUACAAGUUUAGAAGGAGAAGCAGUCACAGUGGGAACAAGGAGAAGCGAGGAGAGAGGCCGCUUCCCUUGCUGGAGCCGGAGCUCGAGGGCCUUGGUUCCCAGCGCCUCUCCCGAGAGUUACACCUGCAUCAGCUGCUCCUAGGCUCAGACCCUGCCUUGGCCGUGGACCCUCCCUGCCCUUGCACUCUCCCCUCUCUCCGUGAGAUUUGUGACGGGGCCUCAGGCUGACGGCCAAGUUAGCAAGUAUUAAGAGGUGCCUGAGCAACCAGGCACAAAUGUACAGCUGCCCCUGAAGUGUGUUUCCCUGCAAUUCAGCCUGUCCACUGCGGCCCCUCUGCACCUGGCUGGAGCCCAGAGGAGGACCUGGGCCUGCGACACCCUGCUCAUGCUCCGCCUGUCCUGCUCCCUCCAGGUCAGGGGUUUGCCGAGUCCUUCCCUUCCCUGCCCUGACCCCUGCCCUGACAAAGCCCUCCCGACGGAUGCAGGUGCCGGUAGAUAAAGGACAGGGACUGACGAUGUCUUACUGCAUCUGUGCACAUUUUAGUCAGUUCACCAAGCACCUCCCAGGCCGCAGGGCCCAGCGGGGCUGCGCUCCUGCCUGGCCCUACUGGUCCCAGUCCUUGACGAUGCUCAGGACGCCCCGCUCAGGGGCGGGGCCUGCCAGCCUGGCCAGCACGUCCAGCCCUCCGUGCUCCUUCUCCCUGGAGGACACAAAGUGGGCAGCUCCUGCACCCGGACCCCGGGGCGCCCGCCCGUGUCCCCGUCCCUGUCCCCGUGGCCUGCGCAGCUCCCGGAUCUGUGCGGGCCAGGCCGAUUGGGACCGCAGGGCAGGAGCCCGGGCACCGCUUACCGGAGGACAACGUUGCAUGCCUGCGCGGUGGCCGCUGACCAAGGCCUGCUGGCCCCGCUCCCCAACAUCGUUCCCGCUCACGUCCAGGUGCCUCAGCUCCAGGUUGGUGCCCGGCACAGCCGGCCAGGGCAAGGCAGCCAGCAGAGGACAUGCAGGUGGCAGCUGGGGCACGCCAGGGCCUCGCACAGAGUGGCGGCGCCGUCAUCCCCGAGGGUCAUUGAGGCUGAGGUCCAGGCUUUGGAGGCGCGCUGCUCUCUCGAGAGCUGAGGCCACGUCCUGACAGCAAGCCGAGUGAGACCGAGGACUCAUGUGCUGACUCUGUCUUCCACCACUUGAGGAACAGCCAAGAACGUCUUCCUGAAGUGCCAGCACCUUCUCCUGCUUCUCCGGGGAAAGCUCAAAGUGUCAGUGCUUCCUCAGGUAUUUUGUGCCUCUUUCAGCAUUUCAGAAGCAUUUGCAGAAAUUCCCAAGCGUCACGCACUGCAUCAGGCCUGGGGGCCCCAGAGGCACAGCCCCUGCCCUGGGGAGCUCGGGCCCAGCAAGAACCAAACACAAAGGUGAACAGGCCCGGUGUGUCCGUCUGGCAGGAGGCUCCAAGGUCUCCCUGCCCCUUCCCGCUCAGGCGCCUGCAGCCUCCCAGGACCCGGUGACCAGGGACGGGGUGGGCCCAGGAGGGGUGGAUUUCAGACACGAGGGCACUGUUUACGGGGCUGGAUUGCCUCGGCCCCCGCCUCUGUGGGGUGUGGCUCCCUCUCACGGGAUGACCAGGGACCCCGCUCUGGUCCCCACAGCAGGCAUGGGCGCGUGACCCAGAGGCCCACACCUGCAGACUCCGGCGACUUUUCCUCUCGGAGACACAUCGUCAUCGGCCUCACACUUGCCAUCCUCCUGCCUCAGCCUCCCAGAGUGCUGGGGUCACAGGCGUGCACCACCAUGCCUGGCUCCGUAUUUAAUUCUGUGCUGAACUUCCUCCCGUGACAGCCAAGUGAGACCUCCCCAGGAGGAAGGCAGCGUGACCUGGACACUGACCCUGAGCCCCCGCCCGGCUCUUGUGAUGAGCAGAUGUCGCCGUCCUGCGCAUCUGCAGGGCCCUGGGUGCCUGGGCCCCGCUAACCUGCCUCUUCAGUGGAAAUAACACCCUUUUCCUGACUGCUGUCCCCUGGCACAAGCAUGGCUCCAAUAGGCCUCUGUGGGUCACACGUGUGCCACAGACUAGAACACGAAGCAGGUGUGCUCGGCACUGCUCCCCGCACGCCGAGCCUCAAGGGGAGGCACCUGGGGACUCACACCAGCCUCUGGAGGGGCAGCGCCGCGCUUGCCAGGCUCUCCCAGAUGUGCCUCGCCCCUUCAUCCUUCAGGGCAUUGCCCGCCAGGCUCAGGUGCGUCAGCGUCCGGCUGCUCCCCAGGGAGACGGCCACGCCCGGGCAGGCCAGCUUCAUGAGCCCGCAGCCUCCAGCCUGGGGACAGAGACUCGAGGUGAGCUGCGGACAGGUGGCCGGGUGUGGGGAUGCACGCCUGUGACCCCAGCCCUCUGGGAGGCUGAGGCAGGGGGGAUUGUAAGUUCAAGCCCAGCCUGGGCAAUUUAGCGUCUGGGGGAGAACCUGUCUCAAAAUAAACAAAAAAAGGGCUGAUUGUGUCACACAGCGUGAAGGCCUGCCAGCAGUUCCCUAUACCAAAAAUAUCCCAGCCAACCAAAGGAACAAACAGCCCCGCCCGCCCCUGUGAGACAGGAAAGGGAUGGCCCAGGAGGAGGAGAGGCGCAGAAGCCUGGCCUGCAGUUUAGAGCUAAGGCGGAGGCUGAGGUUGUGGAAAGCGUUCGUCAGGGAUCAGCGUGACGCAAUGAAAACGGGAUCCCGUUCCCACGCCACCGAGUGGAAAAGCGGUCAGAAAGCGGGCUGCGAAGGCUCAGAGGAGCUGUCAGACGCGCUAUGGGUGGACGGAGCCCGGAGGUGCGCAGCCCGGAGGAGCGCGACCUGCAGCACGGCCGCCCUGUGCAGCAACGCCCGCCACAGCACCCGUGUGUGUGUGUAUGCGCGCAGUGUGCGCGUGUAACUGUAAGAGCGGGCAGCAGGGCAAACCCCAGCCUGCAGGGCAGCAGAGAGCUCCCUGCACGUUCACACAAACAUUAACAUGGGCAGCGAAGAGGAGCCGACCGCAGAAGGGAGCAGGAAAAUACUGCUCAGAAAGGAGGGCUCCUUCGUGUGAGCAGUGUGGGGCUUAG
rnacentral:lncRNA from 1 species